rnacentral:rRNA from 1 species
AAGCGUUGGAAACGACGUCUAAUACUGGAUAGGACUACUGGCCGCAUGGUCUGGUGGUGGAAAGAUUUUUUGGUUGGGGAUGGACUCGCGGCCUAUCAGCUUGUUGGUGAGGUAAUGGCUCACCAAGGCGACGACGGGUAGCCGGCCUGAGAGGGUGACCGGCCACACUGGGACUGAGACACGGCCCAGACUCCUACGGGAGGCAGCAGUGGGGAAUAUUGCACAAUGGGCGAAAGCCUGAUGCAGCAACGCCGCGUGAGGGAUGACGGCCUUCGGGUUGUAAACCUCUUUUAGUAGGGAAGAAGCGAAAGUGACGGUACCUGCAGAAAAAGCACCGGCUAACUACGUGCCAGCAGCCGCGGUAAUACGUAGGGUGCAAGCGUUGUCCGGAAUUAUUGGGCGUAAAGAGCUCGUAGGCGGUUUGUCGCGUCUGCUGUGAAAUCCCGAGGCUCAACCUCGGGCUUGCAGUGGGUACGGGCAGACUAGAGUGCGGUAGGGGAGAUUGGAAUUCCUGGUGUAGCGGUGGAAUGCGCAGAUAUCAGGAGGAACACCGAUGGCGAAGGCAGAUCUCUGGGCCGUAACUGACGCUGAGGAGCGAAAGCAUGGGGAGCGAACAGGAUUAGAUACCCUGGUAGUCCAUGCCGUAAACGUUGGGCGCUAGAUGUAGGGACCUUUCCACGGUUUCUGUGUCGUAGCUAACGCAUUAAGCGCCCCGCCUGGGGAGUACGGCCGCAAGGCUAAAACUCAAAGGAAUUGACGGGGGCCCGCACAAGCGGCGGAGCAUGCGGAUUAAUUCGAUGCAACGCGAAGAACCUUACCAAGGCUUGACAUACACCGGAAACGGCCAGAGAUGGUCGCCCCCUUGUGGUCGGUGUACAGGUGGUGCAUGGUUGUCGUCAGCUCGUGUCGUGAGAUGUUGGGUUAAGUCCCGCAACGAGCGCAACCCUCGUUCUAUGUUGCCAGCGCGUUAUGGCGGGGACUCAUAGGAGACUGCCGGGGUCAACUCGGAGGAAGGUGGGGAUGACGUCAAAUCAUCAUGCCCCUUAUGUCUUGGGCUUCACGCAUGCUACAAUGGCCGGUACAAAGGGCUGCGAUACCGUAAGGUGGAGCGAAUCCCAAAAAGCCGGUCUCAGUUCGGAUUGAGGUCUGCAAC